GGCAGUUGGAGGUGCUGCUGUGUGGGGACUAGUAAUGGCUUAGUGAAUCUAUUGGAUUAAGGGAGGGAUUUUGAAUGGCAUUAAGCUGUGGGGCUGCAGACAAGUCAACCAGCCGCCAGGACACUGGAUGCUCUCUGUGUUUGGGAUCCCACACACACACACACACAUACACACAUACACAAUAACGCACAUACCUGCUCAUGUACACACACUCACACACACCGCCGUGCUCCCCUGUGAGAGCCUGGAGGUAGACAGGGAGAGACAGGUGACUCCAGAAUGAACCUCUUCUGCUUCACUCUGGACGGCUCUACAGACAGUCUGUAUGAGUUGCCCCAGAGGAGUCCUGCUGGUCCGGAGUUGAGUCCAGUGCCCAGGAGGAGACCCUGCAGCCCCAGGUGUCUAGUGGACAGCGGCAAGUGGGGCGGAUCAGAACCGUGCAUAGCCUUGAAUCGUCCACAAACACCCAGAGCGCAGCUCACCAAGGCCGACUCAAAGAAAGCAAAGAGAAAAUCACAGCUAUCAGUGGCAACGUCUGACGAUGAAAACACAGUGUCCAGUAAUGCUUACUGGCCGUGCUCCAGAAAGACAGAUGAGUCAGUUCACAGCAAGAACCAUCAAAGUGAAGGUGUGGCUGAAGAUGCCUACAUCACAAAGUCUUUGGGUCAAGAAGAGGAAAUGGAGAUGAAGCCAGAAACAAGAGACAGAGAGCACCCUCUUCAGGGCGUCAAUUUCGAGGCCUGGAAUCCGAACAGAGAGAUCUGCGAGAGCAAACAGCACGAAACAGGUGGCGAGGGUGAGAGCGAGCUGGAGACAGAGGGAACUCUGAAGAAGAUCCAGAAGCUGGUCCGGGUAAAAAAGAACAGCAAGGACUGCUCAGAGGAGAGCAGGAAAACACCAGACUCAAGUGGCCGCUCAACACAGACACAUUCUAAAGAAGGUAGCCCGGUCAUCACCUGCAUAGGACUGUCCAAAAGGCCUGAGAAGAAGCAUGGGAAAGAGCUCCUCCAGCAGCAGCAUCAGCAGCCCGAGCCAGCAAAAGAAAUGGACAUAAUGGAGUUGGAGGGUCCCUGGAGCCCGGGGCCUUUCCAGCACUGGACUAGUAUGGACUGUUCUCCAGCAUGGGAAUUAUCUCAUCAUACCUGCCAUAGACCUACAGCUGAUCAGCACUUUUAUUCCUUCGACUUCCAUCUGGCCUGCGGGGCUGAGUGGGACAGGUUUGAGGAGAUGUUCCACGGCCUGGACCACCUGAGGAGGGACCACUCACCUGACCUGGAAAUAACCGACCCCACACGUUCCUCCAGCUUUGGAAGGUUCGACACAUCUAAACACUCUCCCCAAACCAAGGCUGAAGAACAUGAAGGAACCCUGGUAAGAGUUCACCAAUAUAAACCCAGCCAGUCACUGAAUUAAUAGAGAUGAUAUGCUGUGACCUGAUUCUGUA
rnacentral:lncRNA from 1 species